AUUUUCCUUUCACUUUCUCUAGAAGCUUCUCCAAUUUCUAACCCUAAUUUGUCUCCCUCUCAACUCUUCUUUCGACUUCUCAACUCUUCAAUGGCGAAUGGACCUGUUCUUUACUGUUUUCUGUUUCUCUACAUCUCUGCGAAGGUUUCCUGAAGAUUUCAGUUUGUCUCCGACGACCUGCGCAGGUUCUUCGUCAUGGUUUAAGGCAAAUUUUAAUGGCCACUCCUUCUCUUCUUUAUUCUUUGCUGUUUCUCUAAACCCUUUAAAUCUCUCUCUGAAGCUUGGCUGAAGAUUUGUCUUUCUUUCCGGCGACCUGCGCAGACAUAUGAUCUAAUAACAACAACUGAAACAGUAGAUUGGACAUGUCAAGUCCAAAUUGUGGACAUGAGUGGAGGAAGAGUAAGCCCAGAGAAAAAACUCAGAUUCCAAAAUCUAAUUUUCGAAGACGAAGAGUGCAAGAGUUGAAGUUUCAUCAACUUCAUAUGGAAGACCAAUUCGCAAAUUCUAUUGGGUACUUGAUGAUGGAGAAACUAUAAUUGAACGUGUCAACCUUACUGACGAGCAUGAAAAACCACUGCCACCACCGACCAUACUGAAAGAUCACAUAGUUACUAUGUUUUCUGCUCCAACUACAGAAAUUGAUAUACUAGAUGUCGUUCUUCAUUGUGGCCCCUUAAAAUAUGCUGGCGCCUUCAAAAUAAGUGUCGCGAGAAUACUAUUGUAACUGUAACUGGAUCGAAAAGAGAGUGGACUGAGCAUCUUUCCAAUUUCAAAGAUCUAUCAAAGCCCAUUUGAAAUGAAGACCCCUGCUCUGCUUUCAAACUUUCCAACUGCCAUAGAUGCUCCAUUGCUUUCAGGAAGAGACAAUUUCUUCUCACUUUUAUAGAAAGACUUUGGAAAAGUUGAAGGAGCGGAACUCCAAAUUAAAAUAGAAACGGCUGCAGAAUUUCCUGUAAUCCUUGCAAGAAGUUUAUUGCUUCAGAGUACAUUCAAUUCAACGAUUCACAUAAACCCUACUAAUCCACAGGCAUUGGAGCUCAUCAACUGGACAAAAAGAAACAAAGACAUGCUUCAAGCUUUGCAUUGGAGAACUUCUCCGGGUCAUCGACGUCUCUCACAAUGGCUCCAGCUCAACAAUAAUUUAUCACUAUUGAGGAAAUUUCAUUUGAAACAAUU